rnacentral:lncRNA from 1 species
GUUUCUAAGACAAGUGUUAAGUUUCUGAAGCCUUCUAUACAGUGGGGCUUCUUGGAGGGUGCAGAGUACGCUUCUCUGUGAAUCUCCUCUGUUGAUCAUGAAGGCCUUUCCACAGUGUGUUUACACAAGCCCUUGAAAUAACUAGGGCAUCAGAUCAUAAGAAGGCUACAUGUGGAUGCUGAAGUUGAUUGUGGGUUGAUAGUUCUCUGUGUUGCAUUAGAAAUGAGGCACCAAAGGCAGCAUAGUCAGAAAAGUGGCCUCUUGGCCUAGAUCAGCAUCCGUGGGAAGGGAACAGGGUUCCCAUGGGGACAGCCUCACAGAAGCUUCCCUGGACCAAUAACAUUGAAGAAUAGAGGUGUGGCUACAGACCAGAUCAUCUGUGCUUGCCUCCUCCUGCAUAUGAGUUGUCCAAGAUAUGGGAGUGCACACCAUCAGUGGACUCUGGGGCAGGAGGAACUCUUUGUUAUCAAUAUCUAGUUAAUUUAAAGUUUCUCACACUUUAUUUUCUUAUCUGGAAAUGUUCACAGAUUUUAUUCCAACACCAACAGUUAUAUGACAAUUUAUCCAUAGAGUUAGUUGGAAUCCAAAGACUAUAAAUUCUAUUUGCAAAAUAUUACAUAUCUUUGAAAACCAAGUACUGAGUUCUCAGCAAACAUUUACCAUGAACUGAAUUUUUUAAGCUGGUAAAUAGAAGCAAAAUGAUCAUUUUUGCCUUAGUUAGAAGAAGGUAUCAAAUGUGCAUCUCAUGCCUGACCUGCUAGACAUCUUUUGCCAAACUUAGAGUUCUUAUGGGUUUCAAGUUCUGUAUAAAAAGGAAUACUAUGAUUGAUGUUUCUCUUGUUAAACAAAAACAAAAAAAAAAAACUCCUUUAUUCUAAGAACAACGUCUCAAAGUCUCAUUUUUUUUUAAAUUUUACAGCUGAAGAGACUUACAAAGAGACUUACAGGAUAUAAAAUAAUUCCUGGCAAUAAUAUUUGAUAAAGAGAAUGUAGGAUAAUUAGAAGCACAUUGACAUUUCAAUUUUGUAAAACAACAAAUUCAAAGAAAUAUGUUUACAAAAAUGUGUGGCAAUUUUCCCAAACAAUGAAUCUUCAGACAACAAAUAUGGACCUAUAGGUAUUGUGA